CGUUCUUAUUGUACGCAGAGACAUUUUCCAAACACAUAUAAAAAUAUAUAGGUAUUAUAGAUAUUAGGUACUCGUGUGGCGCCGUGACGUUGAAUGUGUAAAAGUAUAGAACGCGUAUAGAUUUUUGUCGGAGUCCCCCUCCCCGUUAGAAACGAAUAAAGAAACAUCUCGUCCUCUUUGUACAAAUCGUAAACGCGGUGUAAGAACCUAUAACCGCAUCGGCCGAUUGAUUAACAGUUUGUAUUUUUAAGGCCCGAGUUUUCUGCUGUAUAUAUAUAUAUA